rnacentral:lncRNA from 1 species
UCUGCCAUGAAUAGGUGACGCGGGAUGAAGAGGAGAGUUUCCUAUCAAGGCUGCUGUGUUUUGUUUUUGUUUUGUAGAUAUGGGGUUUCACCAUGUUGCCCAGGCUGGUCUCUAACUCCUGGGCUCAAGGGAUCCACCCGCUUUGACCUCCCAAAUUGUUGGGAUUACAGGUAUGAGCCACAGUGCCUGCCUAAGGUUGCUUUCUGUGUGAAUCAAGGAGGCAUUCAAUAAAUAGUUGUGGGAUUAAUGAAUGUCAUUUCAAGGAGGGUUAAAAGCCAUGGACACCAUCUGUAAAGGGUAUUAUAAUUUGGUUAUCCAGGAAAACAGAAAAUUUCAGCAGUUAUUUGAGAUUUCCAGAAGGGCAGGAAAUGCAAUUCAAUCCUCCCAGUGACUGAUCACUUCGCAAGAUUAAUGGAAUCAUCUCCAACACUGGUCCCUGUUCCAACAGCACAAAAAGUGAAUCAACCUUCUCACUUACUCAGCGAGGUCAGCGGAUUCCCCGUUCUAAAAGUUCAAAACUUUUCUCCAGGAAAUUUGUCCUUGACUAUUCCUUUGUGGGGCGAAAUCCUGCUUUCUGGGCUAAGACUGAAAUGUGGUAUUUGAAAGUCCGGGGACUUUUGUAGGCUUUUCAUCUGUUACUACUUCAACUUUAAAAUAAAAUAAAUGCAAAAGGCCUGAUUUUCCCUGAAAGGGUUAAUUGCCAGCCCUCUGAGCCCUCCCUCGGGGAUCGUCAACCAAUCACAAUUGAGUAUGAUGAAGUAAUGCUUAGAUUUUUAUUUCCAUUGGUUAAAGUACUUGUCCAUCAAUCCAAA